rnacentral:rRNA from 1 species
ACGAACGCUGGCGGCAUGCCUAACACAUGCAAGUCGAACGAGACCUUCGGGUCUAGUGGCGCACGGGUGCGUAACGCGUGGGAACCUGCCCUUAGGUUCGGCAUAACUCCCCGAAAGGGGUGCUAAUACCGGCUAAUGUCUUCGGACCAAAGAUUUAUCGCCUUUGGAUGGGCCCGCGUUGGAUUAGCUAGUUGGUAGGGUAAAAGCCUACCAAGGCGACGAUCCAUAGCUGGUCUGCGAGGAUGAUCAGCCACACUGGGACUGAGACACGGCCCAGACUCCGACGGGAGGCAGCAGUGGGGAAUAUUGGACAAUGGGCGAAAGCCUGAUCCAGCAAUGCCGCGUGAGUGAUGAAGGCCUUAGGGUUGUAAAGCUCUUUUACCCGGGAUGAUAAUGACAGUACCGGGAGAAUAAGCUCCGGCUAACUCCGUG